GGGAGGCUCAGAGCGGAUCGUCUUCUCACAAACAUGGGGUUUUGUACUCGAAAAAAUGCAAAACAUUGGAUGCGUCAACACCACCUCACAGAGUCUGGGGUUCC
rnacentral:ribozyme from 1 species